rnacentral:rRNA from 1 species
AUUGAACGCUGGCGGCAGGCUUAACACAUGCAAGUCGAGCGGGGUGAUGGUGCUUGCACUAUCACUUAGCGGCGGACGGGUGAGUAAUGCUUAGGAAUCUGCCUAUUAGUGGGGGACAACAUCUCGAAAGGGAUGCUAAUACCGCAUACGUCCUACGGGAGAAGGCAGGGGAUCACUUGUGACCUUGCGCUAAUAGAUGAGCCUAAGUCGGAUUAGCGAGUUGGUGGGGUAAAGGCCUACCAAGGCGACGAUCUGUAGCGGGUCGGAGAGGAUGAUCCGCCACACUGGGACUGAGACACGGCCCAGACUCCUACGGGAGGCAGCAGUGGGGAAUAUUGGACAAUGGGGGGAACCCUGAUCCAGCCAUGCCGCGUGUGUGAAGAAGGCCUUAUGGUUGUAAAGCACUUUAAGCGAGGAGGAGGCUCUUUUGGUUAAUACCCAAGAUGAGUGGACGUUACUCGCAGAAUAAGCACCGGCUAACUCUGUGCCAGCCGCCGCCGUAA